rnacentral:rRNA from 1 species
CCUCUUAGCGGGGGAUAACUAUUGGAAACGAUAGCUAAUACCGCAUAAAAGUCGACAUCGCAUGAUGUUGACUUGAAAGGUGCAAUUGCAUCACUAAGAGAUGGACCUGCGUUGUAUUAGCUAGUUGGUGAGGUAACGGCUCACCAAGGCGACGAUACAUAGCCGACCUGAGAGGGUGAUCGGCCACACUGGGACUGAGACACGGCCCAG